rnacentral:rRNA from 1 species
GACGAACGCUGGCGGCGUGCUUAACACAUGCAAGUCGAACGAUGAAGAAGAGCUUGCUCUUCGGAUUAGUGGCGGACGGGUGAGUAACACGUGACUAACCUGCCCCUUUCACUGGGAUAACGCUCUGAAAGGAGUGCUAAUACCGGAUACUCACAUCGAGGCACAUGCCUUGAUGUGGAAAGUUUUUCGGAAAGGGAUGGAGUCGCGGCCUAUCAGCUUGUUGGUGAGGUAACGGCUCACCAAGGCGACGACGGGUAGCCGGCCGGAGAGGGCGGCCGGCCACAAUGGGACUGAGACACGGCCCAGACUCCUACGGGAGGCAGCAGUGGGGAAUAUUGCACAAUGGGCGAAAGCCUGAUGCAGCGACGCCGCGUGAGGGAUGAAGGUCUUCGGAUUGUAAACCUCUUUCAGUAGGGACGAAGCGAAAGUGACGGUACCUAAAGAAGAAGCACCGGCUAAUUACGUGCCAGCCGCCGCGGUAA